rnacentral:rRNA from 1 species
UACAGAGGGGGCAAGCGUUGUUCGGAAUUACUGGGCGUAAAGGGCGCGUAGGCGGCCGCCUAAGUCAGACGUGAAAUCCCUCGGCUCAACCGUGGAAGUGCACUCGAAACUGCGCAGCUAGAGUCUCGGAGAGGAAGGCGGAAUGCUUGGUGUAGAGGUGAAAUUCGUAGAUAUCAAGCGGAACACCGGUGGCGAAGGCGGCCUUCUGGACGAUGACUGACGCUGAAGCGCGAAAGCGUGGGGAGCAAACAGG